rnacentral:miRNA from 1 species
UGUCCAGUGACGUUGAUUGCAGU